rnacentral:rRNA from 1 species
AUGUGACGUGACCGCAUGGUCUGCGUCUGGAAAGAAUUUCGGUUGGGGAUGGGCUCGCGGCCUAUCAGCUUGUUGGUGAGGUAAUGGCUCACCAAGGCGUCGACGGGUAGCCGGCCUGAGAGGGUGACCGGCCACACUGGGACUGAGACACGGCCCAGACUCCUACGGGAGGCAGCAGUGGGGAAUAUUGCACAAUGGGCGCAAGCCUGAUGCAGCAACGCCGCGUGAGGGACGACGGCCUUCGGGUUGUAAACCUCUUUUAGCAGGGAAGAAGCGAAAGUGACGGUACCUGCAGAAAAAGCGCCGGCUAACUACGUGCCAGCAGCCGCGGUAAUACGUAGGGCGCAAGCGUUAUCCGGAAUUAUUGGGCGUAAAGAGCUCGUAGGCGGUUUGUCGCGUCUGCUGUGAAAUCCGGAGGCUCAACCUCCGGCCUGCAGUGGGUACGGGCAGACUAGAGUGCGGUAGGGGAGAUUGGAAUUCCUGGUGUAGCGGUGGAAUGCGCAGAUAUCAGGAGGAACACCGAUGGCGAAGGCAGAUCUCUGGGCCGUAACUGACGCUGAGGAGCGAAAGGGUGGGGAGCAAACAGGCUUAGAUACCCUGGUAGUCCACCCCGUAAACGUUGGGAACUAGUUGUGGGG